rnacentral:rRNA from 1 species
AUUGAACGCUGGCGGCAGGCCUAACACAUGCAAGUCGAACGGAAGAAGGGAGCUUGCUCGUGGUUUCCGCGGGGGACGGGUGUGUAAUGCAUGGGAAUAUGCCUGGUUGUGGGGGAGGAUGUCUGGAAGCGGGCGGUAAUACUGCAUAAGUGCUGAGGGAGAAGGAGGGGGGGGUUCGGAACUUAUGCUAUGAGGGGAGUGGAGGUGGGGUUAGCUAGUUGGUGGGGUAGGGGGCUACCAAGGCGACGAUCCGUAACUGGUCUGAGAGGAUGAUCAGUCACACUAGAACUGAGACACGGUCCAGACUCCUACGGGAGGCAGCAGUGGGGAAUAUUGGACAAUGGGCGAAAGCCUGAUCCAGCCAUCCCGCGUGUGUGAAGAAGGUCUUUGGAUUGUAAAGCACUUUAAGUUGGGAGGAAGGGCAGUAAGUUAAUACCUUGCUGUUUUGACGUUACCAACAGAAUAAGCACCGGCUAACUUCGUG